UGAAACAUUACAACUUCAGGCGAAAAGAUGGCUUUGGUGAAGAGAGACUCAUCUCCAGGUGAUAUUUUGUCCUAUGCCCACUAUUACCUGAAGAAAUGAGCAGGGCAGAAGUGUGAGGAAACGGGGGUGGUGCAUGCGGUGGAAACAGAGUGUUCGCCCAGACGAAAUGGCACCUUGGAGAGCAUGACAUGUGGGAGGAGCUAAGGAUAUGGAGCAUGGAGGGCAGGGGAAGACAACAAGACAAGGUGGGAAAGCAUGUGGUCUUACCGCACGUGGAAUGCGUUCGUGUACUGCAGCAGUCAUCCCGUAACGCUGGCUCCCGUUUCGCAUUUACUACAUAUCAGGCUCUGUACUGAUCUCUUUCUGCGUAUGCCUUUUGAGAUUUUUUUUUUUGAACUGAUAAUCUCUACCCACUAAAACAUUUAAAAGAAACUGAAGUGCACAGAGCGAGAUGUCCAUAAAGUAAGUCUUCCAUUCUUGUUCCCUAAACAUUCUGCCCAGAGUCACCUCGGCUCACCAGUCCCUGACUGUUUGCCUUCAAAGAGAGUGUGCUGAGCAUUUAUUUACAGGACAUCACCACAUUUAGUCCUCACUACAACCCUACACAGCAACUACUAUUAUUCUGUUUGUUAACAGAGGAGGAAGCUGCAGCCCAGAGCGUACUUGCCCCAGCUCAUAAGAAAAUAGGAGAACCAGGAUCAGAACUCACAUCCGUUUUAUCACGGCUGCAUUUCCUUCCCAUUAUCCUCACUCCAGAGGGCCUCGAAGCCUGGACUCUACCUUCUCCCCCAUAUGCUUGUCUAGAUCCUACCCAUCCUCCAGGGCCCUGCUCAGAAUAACCCUACUAGCAUUUAUUGAGUGCUUACUGUAUGCCAGGCUCUUAUAUACUCGAUCUUCUUUAAUCCUCAUGCAAGUUCUACGAGUCAUGUGCUAUUAUCGUCCUCUUUAACAGAAGUGAAACUGAGACUUCGAAAGCCACACAGCUAGUAAGUGGCAGAGGCAACACUCAGCCAGGACAGCCUCAUCUGAGGCCCCUGCCUCCCAGCUAGGACACACCCACACCGCAAAGCCCUCCCAGACCCCCAGCGUGCAGUGAUUUCACUCCUCCGGGGACAGCCUUAGCACUUCUCGUCACAGACCAACGUGGCAUCUGCUUGCCAGUCGUCCUGUAUUGUUCUUGGACAAUUCAGCAUUCUAGGUUCUUCUCUUCCAACUUUGCUGUCAUUCUCAGAGAGCAAAGACUCUGUUUUUAAUGCGUGGUCAUAAUGUUUAAGAAGUGCUUGGCAAACAGUAAGUGUGCAAUAAACAAUUGGUUUAUUAUUAAGAAAAAGUUUUAGCUCCAUGUGAGCGGCUGUAGAAAUCCCGAUGAGACAAAGUAGAACAAGAAAGUGGACUAAUGAAAAUCGAACUCUUCAAACCUCUGUCUGGAAUCAUGUCAUCGGCAUAUUUAACUUCUGGAAAAUCAACUCUAUAUGUGCACUAGGAAAAAAUGAGAGUGGACAAAGGGCAACUGAGCAGUGCUGUGAUUUUGCCCACCGCUGCUCUCCUGGAGCUCCGGCUCCGUGGAAGCACGCCCCUGGACAGUCUCAAUCUUCCAAGAAAGCAGGGCACCUGCACGGCCCUCUCUCUAGCUGCUGGCGCAGCCACACGAAGCCCCGGAGCCCAUGAAACAUUCUGAAGAAAAACUCUUCGACCUUGGGGCUCUGAGUCUUCAUUACGGGUAGCAGCACCUGGGGCCACCAUUUCUGAAAGAAAUUAAAACUCUUUCCUCCUAGCUUCCAUGAACUCAAUGGCCUCUCAACUUCAUCCCUGAUUCCUAAGUGGUGUAAGGUCCAGCCUACCACUCCCCGCCCUCUUGCCCCAGACAGACGGUCUAUCUCAAGGCAGUAAAUGAUUCACAGUGGCUGCUCCUGCUGGGGGGGGAAAAAGUAGAAGAAAACAAAAAUUCCAUUGAUUUGACUAAGAAAUAGGAGGGACUUUGGCCAUACUCUCUGGCAUAGCGUCUACAGGGAAUUGUCUUGGCUGAGACACGCCAGCAAACCAUCCAGGAAGAGCAGAAUCUACUUUUCAUUUCAGAGGGAGAGGAAGAAAUGGGCAACUUGGGGCAGGGAGAGAAUGGAACUGGUGGGAAGUUUUGGAACAGCUGUGUGUUUAAACCAGAGGCCCUGGGCCAAGGGCAGUCAGAGAACAUGAAAAUUCCAGGCACAGAGGAUUCCUCAAAGUGCUGACCCCUCUUUAGGCAAAGAGAGAAGUGGAGAAGUAGUCAUGAAAGCAGGAGAUGUGAGCUGGAAAUCCUGAGGGGGCAGUCUACUCCAGUCUGACAGGAGUUAUCUGUUGACUUUGGCUCAUCAGAUUUCCAUUUGUGGUUUUGUUUUUGUUGUUGUUGUUUUUAACAAGGAAACAUCUCUCCAACAGCUACAUGUCUUUUGUGGGGCAGUAGAUCCCAUUUCAUUCUUCCCAAACAUGGCUGAUAGGUAAUAAGGGGAGAAAAGAGACCACUUUAUACUUUCAUACAAAAUUCUUAAUUUAGGGGUCAAACCUUUUAUUGUUUGGUUCUCCCUCUAAAUAAUUCCGUUUUCUGUUUUCCCUUCUGGCAGUGGGGCUCCCCUCCUUGCCCCUCUGCACCCCAUCACCCUCCACCCUCUUUCUCUACUUUCACUUCAGUGGCUGGCAAAAUCAGAAUGUUAUUUCGUUUUGAGAUAGUCACUGCAGAAGUUUAUGAAAUCUUUUUUUUUUUAAGAUUUUAUUUAUUUAUUUGACAGAGAUAGAGACAGCCAGCAAGAGAG